ACCUUGCUGACGAGUGCCAAAUAGCACGAAACCUAAGUCAGAGGU
rnacentral:hammerhead_ribozyme from 1 species